rnacentral:rRNA from 1 species
GACGAACGCUGGCGGCGUGCUUAACACAUGCAAGUCGAGCGGUAAGGCCCUUCGGGGUACACGAGCGGCGAACGGGUGAGUAACACGUGAGCAACCUACCCUCAACUUCGGGAUAAGCCUCGGAAACGGGGUCUAAUACCGGAUAUCACUUCCUGCUUCAUGGCGGGGGGUUGAAAGUUCUGGCGGUUGGGGAUGGGCUC